AAAUUGAAGAGUUUGAUCAUGGCUCAGAUUGAACGCUGGCGGCAGGCCUAACACAUGCAAGUCGAACGGUAACAGGAAACAGCUUGCUGUUUCGCUGACGAGUGGCGGACGGGUGAGUAAUGUCUGGGAAACUGCCUGAUGGAGGGGGAUAACUACUGGAAACGGUAGCUAAUACCGCAUAACGUCGCAAGACCAAAGAGGGGGACCUUCGGGCCUCUUGCCAUCGGAUGUGCCCAGAUGGGAUUAGCUAGUAGGUGGGGUAACGGCUCACCUAGGCGACGAUCCCUAGCUGGUCUGAGAGGAUGACCAGCCACACUGGAACUGAGACACGGUCCAGACUCCUACGGGAGGCAGCAGUGGGGAAUAUUGCACAAUGGGCGCAAGCCUGAUGCAGCCAUGCCGCGUGUAUGAAGAAGGCCUUCGGGUUGUAAAGUACUUUCAGCGGGGAGGAAGGGAGUAAAGUUAAUACCUUUGCUCAUUGACGUUACCCGCAGAAGAAGCACCGGCUAACUCCGUGCCAGCAGCCGCGGUAAUACGGAGGGUGCAAGCGUUAAUCGGAAUUACUGGGCGUAAAGCGCACGCAGGCGGUUUGUUAAGUCAGAUGUGAAAUCCCCGGGCUCAACCUGGGAACUGCAUCUGAUACUGGCAAGCUUGAGUCUCGUAGAGGGGGGUAGAAUUCCAGGUGUAGCGGUGAAAUGCGUAGAGAUCUGGAGGAAUACCGGUGGCGAAGGCGGCCCCCUGGACGAAGACUGACGCUCAGGUGCGAAAGCGUGGGGAGCAAACAGGAUUAGAUACCCUGGUAGUCCACGCCGUAAACGAUGUCGACUUGGAGGUUGUGCCCUUGAGGCGUGGCUUCCGGAGCUAACGCGUUAAGUCGACCGCCUGGGGAGUACGGCCGCAAGGUUAAAACUCAAAUGAAUUGACGGGGGCCCGCACAAGCGGUGGAGCAUGUGGUUUAAUUCGAUGCAACGCGAAGAACCUUACCUGGUCUUGACAUCCACGGAAGUUUUCAGAGAUGAGAAUGUGCCUUCGGGAACUGUGAGACAGGUGCUGCAUGGCUGUCGUCAGCUCGUGUUGUGAAAUGUUGGGUUAAGUCCCGCAACGAGCGCAACCCUUAUCCUUUGUUGCCAGCGGUCCGGCCGGGAACUCAAAGGAGACUGCCAGUGAUAAACUGGAGGAAGGUGGGGAUGACGUCAAGUCAUCAUGGCCCUUACGACCAGGGCUACACACGUGCUACAAUGGCGCAUACAAAGAGAAGCGACCUCGCGAGAGCAAGCGGACCUCAUAAAGUGCGUCGUAGUCCGGAUUGGAGUCUGCAACUCGACUCCAUGAAGUCGGAAUCGCUAGUAAUCGUGGAUCAGAAUGCCACGGUGAAUACGUUCCCGGGCCUUGUACACACCGCCCGUCACACCAUGGGAGUGGGUUGCAAAAGAAGUAGGUAGCUUAACCUUCGGGAGGGCGCUUACCACUUUGUGAUUCAUGACUGGGGUGAAGUCGUAACAAGGUAACCGUAGGGGAACCUGCGGUUGGAUCACCUCCUUACCUUAAAGAAGC
rnacentral:rRNA from 1 species